rnacentral:rRNA from 1 species
GAUGAACGCUGGCGGCGUGCCUAAUACAUGCAAGUCGAGCGAACAGACGAGGAGCUUGCUCCUUCGACGUUAGCGGCGGACGGGUGAGUAACACGUAGGUAACCUACCUAUAAGACUGGGAUAACUUCGGGAAACCGGAGCUAAUACCGGAUAAUAUUUCGAACCGCAUGGUUCGAUAGUGAAAGAUGGCUUUGCUAUCACUUAUAGAUGGACCUGCGCCGUAUUAGCUAGUUGGUAAGGUAACGGCUUACCAAGGCAACGAUAUGUAGCCGACCUGAGAGGGUGAUCGGCCACACUGGAACUGAGACACGGUCCAGACUCCUACGGGAGGCAGCAGUAGGGAAUCUUCCGCAAUGGGCGAAAGCCUGACGGAGCAACGCCGCGUGAGUGAUGAAGGUCUUCGGAUCGUAAAACUCUGUUAUUAGGGAAGAACAAACGUGUAAGUAACUGUGCACGUCUUGACGGUACCUAAUCAGAAAGCCACGGCUAACUACGU